UCAAUAAGCGGAGGAAAAGAAACUAACAAGGAUUCCCCUAGUAACGGCGAGUGAAGCGGGAAGAGCUCAAAUUUGAAAUCUGGUAGCCUUCGGUUGCCCGAGUUGUAAUCUAGAGAAGUGUUUUCCGCGUUGGCCCAUGUACAAGUCCCUUGGAACAGGGCGUCAUAGAGGGUGAGAAUCCCGUCCUUGACAUGGACCCCCAAUGCUUUGUGAUACACUUUCAACGAGUCGAGUUGUUUGGGAAUGCAGCUCAAAAUGGGUGGUGAAUUCCAUCUAAAGCUAAAUAUUGGCGAGAGACCGAUAGCGAACAAGUACCGUGAGGGAAAGAUGAAAAGCACUUUGGAAAGAGAGUUAAACAGUACGUGAAAUUGUUGAAAGGGAAACGAUUGAAGUCAGUCAUGCUCUUUGGAUUAAGCCGUUCUGCGGUGUAUUUCAUUGAGCGGGGUCAACAUCAGUUUUGAUCGCUGGAAAAGGGCAGGAGGAAGGUAGCACUCUCGGGUGAACUUAUAGCCUCUUGUCGUAUACAGUGAUUGGGACUGAGGAACGCAGCAUGCCUUUUGGCCGGGAUUCGUCCACGUACAUGCUUAGGAUGUUGACAUAAUGGCUUUAAACGACCCGUCUUGAAACACGG
rnacentral:rRNA from 1 species